rnacentral:ncRNA from 1 species
GUGUAAGUGUAAGCUUCUAUACGGUGAAACUGCGAAUGGCUUAUUGAAACAGUUACAGUUUAUUUGAUGGUCUUUACACUACUACAAGGAUACCCGUGGUAAUUCCAUGGCUAAUACAGGCGCACAUACCUCUUCUCUCAUGGAAGGGCAGUGUUUUCUAUUUCACUUGCGCGCAGGGAGAUAGUCAAAGGCGGUUGCCUCUAGAUAGUGGCUACUGCACAGACGGAAGCAGAGAUCUUCAUUGCUAUCUUGGAGAAAAACAGAGAUAUAUUACGUAAGUGCGAG